rnacentral:rRNA from 1 species
CCUACGGGUGGCAGCAGUGGGGGAUAUUGCACAAUGGGGGGAACCCUGAUGCAGCGACGCCGCGUGGGUGAAGGAGUGCUUCGGCAUGUAAAGCCCUAUCGGCAGGGAAGAAGCAAGACGGUACCUGACUAAGAAGCCCCGGCUAACUACGUGCCAGCAGCCGCGGUAAUACGUAGGGGGCGAGCAUUAUCCGGAUUCACGUGGGGUAACGGGAGCGUAGACGGCCAAGCAAGGCAGGGGUGAAAGCCCGGGGCACAACCCCGGGACUGCCGUUGAAACUGGAUGGCUGGAGUGCGCGAGGAGCAGGCGGAAUUCCUGGUGUAGCGGUGAAAUGCGUAGAUAUCAGGAGGAACACCGGCGGCGAAGGCGGCCUGCUGGACCGCGACUGACGUUGAGGCUCGAAAGCGUGGGGAGCGAACAGGAUUAGAUACCCCGGUAGUC